AUUGAACGCUGGCGGCAGGCCUAACACAUGCAAGUCGAGCGGAUGAAGGGAGCUUGCUCCUGGAUUCAGCGGCGGACGGGUGAGUAAUGCCUAGGAAUCUGCCUGGUAGUGGGGGAUAACGUCCGGAAACGGGCGCUAAUACCGCAUACGUCCUGAGGGAGAAAGUGGGGGUCUUUGGACCUCACGCCUUUAGCAGAGCCUAGGUCGGAUUAGCUAGUUGGUGGGGUAAAGGCCUACCAAGGCGACGAUCCGUAACUGGUCUGAGAGGAUGAUCAGUCACACUGGAACUGAGACACGGUCCAGACUCCUACGGGAGGCAGCAGUGGGGAAUAUUGGACAAAGGGCGAAAGCCUGAUCCAGCCAUGCCGCGUGUGUGAAGAAGGUCUUCGGAUUGUAAAGCACUUUAAGUUGGGAGGAAGGGCAGUAAGUUAAUACCUUGCUGUUUUGACGUUACCAACAGAAUAAGCACCGGCUAACUUCGUG
rnacentral:rRNA from 1 species